GGCUGGGUAGCUUAGUUGAUAAGGCACUUGUAUAACGUAUAAGAAUCGUAAGUUCAAAUCUCACCUGAGCUG
rnacentral:tRNA from 1 species